rnacentral:pre_miRNA from 1 species
AUGUCCCUAUACCACAAGGGACAUGGGGGCAGUCAACAGCCCAGUGUCCCUCUUGAUGGCAC